GAGCCGUUAGCUCAGACGGAAGAGCACCUGACUUUUAAUCAGGGGGUCCCGGGUUCGAGUCCCGGACGGCUCACCA
rnacentral:tRNA from 1 species